rnacentral:rRNA from 1 species
GACGAACGCUGGCGGCGUGCUUAACACAUGCAAGUCGAACGGAAAGGCCCUGCUUGCAGGGUACUCGAGUGGCGAACGGGUGAGUAACACGUGGGUGAUCUGCCCUGCACUUCGGGAUAAGCCUGGGAAACUGGGUCUAAUACCGGAUAGGAGCCAUUUUUAGUGUGAUGGUUGGAAAGUUUUUUCGGUGUAGGAUGAGCUCGCGGCCUAUCAGCUUGUUGGUGGGGUAAUGGCCUACCAAGGCGGCGACGGGUAGCCGGCCUGAGAGGGUGGACGGCCACAAUGGGACUGAGAGACGGCCCAGACUCCUACGGGAGGCAGCAGGGGGGAAUAUUGCACAAUGGGCGCAAGCCUGAUGCAGCGACGCCGCGUGGGGGAUGACGGCCUUCGGGUUGUAAACUCCUUUCGCUAGGGACGAAGCUUUUGUGACGGUACCUAGAGAAGAAGCACCGGCUAACUACGUG